AAGUCGUAACAAGGUUUCCGUAGGUGAACCUGCGGAAGGAUCAUUAUUAAUCCGAGCGAGGGAGAGUAUGAAGAGUAUUCUCCCUUUCACCAGUUGAAAUGUGUCAUCCAAAGAGUCUUUGGAUACUCGACAUCACACAAUCAUACUAUCUAUUCAUUGGUACAACUCGCAGCAACGGAUCUCUAGGCUCUU
rnacentral:misc_RNA from 1 species